rnacentral:tRNA from 1 species
CGGUAUGUAGCUUAAUUUGGUAGAGUACAGUCUUGAUAAGACUGGGGGUUUUGGUUCAAUUCCAUCCAAACCGA